AUGAUCUUCAGGGAGCAGCUCUAUAUGGCAUCUGGUCCAAUGGAGCACAGAGAGUUAACCCCAGUCAAAAGCAAGGCUGCCAAGCACGUAAACAAGGAGUGGAAAACUGGCGAUUCUUACCCCCCUCCCCAACUGAAACCUCUUCCUCCCUCCUUACAAACCAUUUCACUGAUUUGGCAUCAACUGUUUCCAAAGAAAUUACAAAUUUUAAAUUGCAAGGUGUUCCGGAUGCGAAAGUGCAAUAAAAUUCUGGCCAUUCAUUCGAUUCUACCCCUCAUCACACCAGACGCGGCUUCCUUUAAAAAGAACAAAACCAAGACGCUUUUACAAUCCUCUCCAGCCUAUUUCACGAAGACUGGUAGCGAACGCCGGGAGCCGCGGAGAGAACGCCAACCCCUCGGCCGGACACUAAGAACAACUGCUGGGAAAAAAAUAAAACACCAGCCCCAACCGCCAGCAACAAGAGGCAACCAAGAGCUCCGGCAAUAGCAACUUCAGAGAAAUGCACCAUCGCAAGAAGUUUUCCUAGGACAGAACAAAACUUGAAACGCAAGGACCAGAGGAGGAGAGCAGGAGCCAGCCUCUCCUCUCCGCACACGCGAGCCGCCAGCAUCACCACGCCUUCAAGGACGACAAAAAGUUUUACUACUCCAAAGGAAAGCGAGAGAAAUGUGUUCCUGAGGAGGCGAGCAGAGAGCGGGCGAGGCGAGGAGCGCUCCGGCUGCUGGGCAGCACCCGCGGUCUGGCCAAGGAAGAAAGGAGCGGCUGCUUUCUUUGUUGUCUCC
rnacentral:lncRNA from 12 species